rnacentral:rRNA from 1 species
UUUACGGGAGGCAGCAGUGGGGAAUAUUGCACAAUGGGCGAAAGCCUGAUGCAGCCAUGCCGCGUGUGUGAAGAAGGCUCUAGGGUUGUAAAGCACUUUCAGUGGGGAGGAAAAGCUCAAAAUUAAUACUUUUGAGCCUUGACGUUACCUGCAGAAGAAGCACCGGCAAACUCCGUGCCAGCAGCCGCGGUAAU